UGAGUUUUUGAAGUAGCAUGUAAAGGUCGCUUGAUUUAAAUUUACUCAAAAAUGAUUUGACUUAUAAAAUCUAAGUAAGAUAAACAGCAUAGCAUUUAUUGUAAGGCUGAUAUCAAUUUAGCGUAAGACAGUAGCCUACGUUUGUGCUUGACUUCGGUUUUUUAACUGUAUUAGUGAAAAUACUUAAAACAAGAAUCUAUCAAGGGAACGAUUUUCACAACUAAGAAAAUGCACUUCUUUAAUUUAGUUUGUAAACCGAACCGUUACACCCCCACACCAGUAGGGGGGCUCUGCUCUGAGGAGACCGAUUCCCGCGUUAUGAAGAAAACGCUACGGGACCAGGACCACGCUGCACAGCUCGGCUAGCUCACGGAAAGAUGAAUCUGUUCCACAAACAAGAAAGCAUUCCCUUACAGGGCGUGUGUCUGGAAUCCCUGUCCAGCUGGAUGGGUCUAACGCAAGCUCAGCAUGCCAUUUUAGCUUGGGACCCAGUUGAUGGGACAAUGGUAUUUAAUUGGAUUUUUCCAAUUAAAUACUAUUGCACGGCAAGGAACUUGAGAGAAACUUUAAACAGCAGAACAUCAUCACACAAAGGGAGGUGGCUCAGCCAUGGAGACGGAAAUGAGAACCAUGAGGACAUCAGUUACCCGCAUGGCACAGCGGAUGGAAACAUUUGAGGAGAAGAUGGAGGAGCUGCUCCUGCUCUUCUGGAGCUCCCCGUCACCUCCCUCUGCUCCGGUCGAUGACAUGUUGCUGUCGCCCUGCUCAACAGUCACAGAGCUGUAAGUGGUCAACAGGAGAAAAGGAACUAAAUGCAACUUUUCCUGACAAGCCUUGGAGGAUCAACCGGAUGUACUGCCAUCUGUUGCAUGCUACGGCGAGUGGCAACCAAUGAUGAAAACAGUAUAGCCUGUGGGGCAAAGAAGGCCUUCCAGGACCUGAGAAUCUUCAGGGUUAUAACAGGCAGGUGUUAUUUUAUUGUUCACAUCAGUAUUCUGCUUAUCUUGGCUGAUAAUGUUUUAAUUUGACUAGUAGUCAACUAGUAACUUUGCUUCAUUUUGACUUCUACUCUAGCGGCCUCCCAGAAAAACUUUCUCGCGCUGAAGUUUGCCUCACACAGACGGUCAAUUGAAAUUCUUCUAUGUAAUGUUCAUAUUGUUAUUAUUGAUAAUAAUCAAACUAUCAAUAUUUGUGAUCAGAAAAAAACAGGGUUGAUAGUAAGGAAAUUUGUCUUGCUUUUGUCAACUUGUACAGUCUUAGUAUGACAUAUCAAAUUUUUGUUUGUUUCUUUUUAGGCCAGCUGAGAAGGACUGAGCCUAAAUGUUCAUUCCUAAUGAAAACCUUACCGUCUAUAGCCACGAGAGGGCGCUCUAGGCUGGUGACAACUCAAUGCUGCUCCUAAAGACAACGGAGAAAGACUGAACGCAAACUAAAUGCCCCAAAAAAGAAAUCCUUGUCUCCAGAUUAAAAACUGCAGGUGGUAAAAUAUACACAUAUAUCUAUCUAUCUAUCUAUCUAUCUAUCUAUCUAUCUAUCUAUCUAUCUAUCUAUCUAUCUAUCUAUCUAUAUAUAUAUAUAUAUAUAUAUAUAUAUCUAUAUAUCUCUAUAUCUAUAUCUGCACUGUAGCUGGGCUUUAACGGUCCUGACGUUACCUGUCCGUGCCUCGCGUCGUGUUUGAACUGUCCCUGAUAGACGUCUCCGUAUCUAUCUAUAUAUAUCUAUCUAGAUCUAUCUAUCUAUCUAUCUAUCUAUCUAUCUAUCUAUCUAUCUAUCUAUCUAUCUAUCUAUCUAUCUAUCUAUAUAUAUCUGCACUGUAGCUGGGCUUUAACGGUCCUGACUGUUACUGCUAAUAAACACGACGUUUAUUCAGUUCAUACUUUUAUUCAUGCACAGCUAGCUUGGACCACGUGUCCACCAUGAA